rnacentral:rRNA from 1 species
UAACACGUGGGUGAUCUGCCCUGCACUUUGGGAUAAGCCUGGGAAACUGGGUCUAAUACCGAAUACACCUUGCUGGCUGCAUGGCUGGUGGGGGAAAGCUUUUGCGGUGUGGGAUGGGCCCGCGGCCUAUCAGCUUGUUGGUGGGGUGAUGGCCUACCAAGGCUGCGACGGGUAGCCGGCCUGAGAGGGUGUCCGGCCACACUGGGACUGAGAUACGGCCCAG